GACGAACGCUGGCGGCGUGCUUAACACAUGCAAGUCGAACGGAAAGGCCUGCUUUCCCUUGUGGAUUGCGGGUACUCGAGUGGCGAACGGGUGAGUAACACGUGAGUGAUCUGCCCCCAACUUGGGUAUAAGCCUGGGAAACUGGGUCUAAUUCCCGAUAGGACUGCAGGGUGGUUCCUGUGGUGGAAAACGAUUUUCUAGUGGUUGGGGAUGAGCUCGCGGCCUAUCAGCUUGUUGGUGGGGUAAUGGCCUACCAAGGCGGCGACGGGUAGCCGGCCUGAGAGGGUGGACGGCCACAUUGGGACUGGGAUACGGCCCUGACUCCUACGGGAGGCAGCAGUGGGGAAUAUUGCACAAUGGGCGGAAGCCUGAUGCAGCGACGCCGCGUGGGGGAUGACGGCCUUCGGGUUGUAAACUCCUUUCGACCGCGAGGAAGCCACCUGGUUGGAAGGGUGGUGACGGUAGUGGUAGAAGAAGCACCGGCUAACUACGUG
rnacentral:rRNA from 1 species